rnacentral:snRNA from 1 species
AAACUCACCUGACGCCGGGGGUUAUUGGUAAGACUCAAGACCAGGCUCCCUGGCUGAGGUUGCCAUUGCACCGUGGCAGCUGAAGCUUACAUCUACUCCAAAUUGGGUAGGGUUGAGGCGUCUAAUUUCUGGUAGUGGAAAGAAAGGCAUUCAUUGCCUUUUCCAC